CCAGGUCUGGGCGAGGGCACCGACCUCUUGAGUUUCUUCUCGGUGUGCACCGGGUUCCCCAGCCCGUCGGUCAGAGAGCCGUCACUGAGGACCCUCAGUCUGUGGCCCGCGUCGCUGGGAUACAAGAGGAAUCUUUGUUCUAAGCUGAACCAGGAGGUCAGGAAACAGAACGUCAGUUCCAGAGCUCAGAGCGAGUGUUCUGAGCGGAGAAGAAGGUGUUCCUCAUUUACAACCUGAGCCUCUCUCUCUCUCUCCGUCUCUCCCCCUCUCCCCCUCUCCCCCUCUCCCCCUCUCCCUCUCUCUCUCUCGCCCACCCACUACAGUGGGAGGAUUAUGAUGAUGAGUGCUGGGGCUGAAUAACAUUGAGAGAGACAGAGAGAGGGAGAGAGAGAGAAACAUGGUUAAAGCGCUGCCACCUCUAGAGCCGUCUGAAUCAUAUGAAUCCUUCAUUCCUGCUGACUGUUCAGGACGGAGAACACAGUGAAGCCGUCUCUCCUCACGCAAAUUUUUAAAGGAACACUCCACCCAUUUGCAUUAAGCUUUGCAUUGUUAGAAACCCAGUCAUACUUUUGAAUGGUCACGCAACACUCUCUCAUUUUCCCCUGAGACGGGAGAAAUCCGUAUUUCCCUAUUACACUUCCUCCUGGCAAUGACGCAAAAAACAUUGUUUUGCGUCAUUGCCAGAAGGAAAUACAAGAGGGGGGAUUUCGAUUGAGACUACAAGCACUAGUCCCACCCUUUCAAACCCGCCCAUAGGGGGUGGGACCUAAUGCGCUAACACAGCGGUCCCCAACCACCGGGCCGCGGACCGGUACCGGGCCGCAGGACAUUCCUAACCGGGCCGUAGUUUAACGAGGCUAUGACAUGACUAGAAAACAAACAAAAACAAUUUUUUUUUUAUUUUUUUAAUUCAUGCAAAAUGCAUGCACACUUAAUAAACUCAAUUUACUUCGCAAUACUGUCACUCUUUUACAUGCCAUAAGUCUAUAUGCAGUUGUUAGAUUGCAUAUAACAUGUUUGCAUUUUUGGCAACCUCUGCGCAACAUAACCCAACCACCCCCCCCCCCCCGGUCCGCGAAACUUUUUGGAGAAUCAUACCGGUCCUUGAUGCUGAAAAGGUUGGGGACCACUGCGCUAACAGACCGAUCACAGAUCAGUGCCAGUGUGUAAGACUUCACCUGCAGAAAACAUGGCCGAAGGUACUGAAUACGCAGACGGACAUAUAUGGAGGAUUGGGAUUUUGAAGAAGAUGGUAGAAACGGAUGUUCGUGGCUACCUUUAUGAGCCACAAUAUAGCGACGAGCAGCUGAGGGCUAUGGAGGUACAGGGGGUGGCUGAAGCUGCCGCCGCUACAGCCAAGGCAGACGGCAUGCCUGCCGCAGACAAGGAGCCCGCAAAGGCUCGAGCUGGGGCGGAUUGGUGGUGCCUGUGCUCUCACUUUGCGCCAAUGGACACAGAACAAGAGUCUGUCUGCUGCCGAGAAUUCCAGCGGUGCCGAAAUCGCCGGAAUCGGAGGAUGACACGGACGUGUGUGUUGUCGAUGACACGGACGUGUGUGUUGUUGAUCACCCGAGUUUUGCACCCCAGGCUUUACGCCUCAUAUGAACAGUUGGGUAUUGGAUACAUAUUCCCGGACCCAGAAAGUGUACUGGAAACGCCAGCCAACGCCCGCCGGGAGAAACGGACGUCUGAGCAUAGAACAGUAUCGCUUCCUGUGUUGUCCAGGCCAUCAGAGCUAAUUAACCACAAGAUGGGCAGUACCGUGACUACCAGGAGACAGUAGAUGCUCAAGAUGAGCUGUGACUAUUUUGACUCUAGCAAAUGCACACUACACGUUUUAUUUUUGUAAAUAGUUCAAAUUUUUUCAUGAAUAAAACUUCAAAUUCAUGUUGGUUGUUGUGAUUUGUUUACUAACCCAAGUGCUGUUAUACUAAAUUAGGCCUACUUUAUAAGAUACACACUUAUUUCAACUGGGGAGAAAAUGUACAAGUACAAAACUUGAUAUGCUGAGCUACUGGAAUUAGCAAAUGUUCUUAUGCUGUACAGUAAAAUACAAAUGAUGCGUUGAAAAAACGA